rnacentral:misc_RNA from 1 species
UAACAAGGUUUCCGUAGGUGAACCUGCGGAAGGAUCAUUACUGAGUGCGGGCUGCCUCCGGGCGCCCAACCUCCCACCCGUGACUACCUAACACUGUUGCUUCGGCGGGGAGCCCUCUCGGGGGCGAGCCGCCGGGGACUACUGAACUUCAUGCCUGAGAGUGAUGCAGUCUGAGUCUGAAUAUAAAAUCAGUCAAAACUUUCAACAAUGGAUCUCUUGGUUCCGGCAUCGAUGAAGAACGCAGCGAACUGCGAUAAGUAAUGUGAAUUGCAGAAUUCAGUGAAUCAUCGAGUCUUUGAACGCACAUUGCGCCCCCUGGCAUUCCGGGGGGCAUGCCUGUCCGAGCGUCAUUGCUGCCCAUCAAGCCCGGCUUGUGUGUUGGGUCGUCGUCCCCCCCGGGGGACGGGCCCGAAAGGCAGCGGCGGCACCGUGUCCGGUCCUCGAGCGUAUGGGGCUUUGUCACCCGCUCGAUUUAGGGCCGGCCGGGCGCCAGCCGACGUCCAACCAUUUUUCUUCAGGUUGACCUCGGAUCAGGUAGGGAUACCCGCUGAACUUAAGCAUAUCAAUAAGCGGAGGAAAAGAAACCAACCGGGAUUGCCCCAGUAACGGCGAGUGAAGCGGCAAGAGCUCAAAUUUGAAAUCUGGCCCCUCCGGGGUCCGAGUUGUAAUUUGCAGAGGAUGCUUCGGGUGCGGCCCCUGUCUAAGUGCCCUGGAACGGGCCGUCAGAGAGGGUGAGAAUCCCGUCUUGGGCAGGGUGCCCGUGCCCGUGUGAAGCUCCUUCGACGAGUCGAGUUGUUUGGGAAUGCAG